CCUAUCCGACAAUUUGGGGCACAUUGCCAUGGCAUGGCUCAACCAGUCAGAAUAAGAAGUGUAGUGCCUGUUUACGCCGCACCUCAACACCAAUCGCCAUCACUCCCCCCUCAGGUGAUGCGAGGACUACCUCAACAAGCUCCUCCUGUUACCGUUAGGCAAACUUCACUAGCAUAUGCUGCUCCACCGCCAUUUCGAAAAGAAGACCCAAUGAAUGUUCGAAAAGAUCAUUCAGCUGUUUGGAAAGAAGAAUCUCUGGCUGUUGAAAAAGAUCAUCCACCUGUUCAGAAAGAAGGAUCUCAGGCUGUUCAAAAGGAAGAUCCUCUAAACAUUAUGAAAGAAGAUCAUACAACUACUAUUGGUGCUGCUAUGCCAAAUAAAUUACCAGCUCAAAUAGAGGAAACUGGGAACCCAGCAAUAGAUAAGCUGAAAGAAUCUGAGACAAUACAAAGGGUGGAACAACUCUCAGUCUGAUCGUCGCUGGGGGAAGAAUUGGAUCCAUGAGAGAAUCUAAUGGUUUUUAUGCUUGUCUCACUUUUGUUGUAGUAUCUUCUUUCAUCAUAUUAUAUGAGUGUUUUUACUUCAACCUUUUUGUUUCCUUUUCUUUCCUUGUUGCUUUUUACCGUUUUCCAUUUUGUUCUCUUAGAAGCCACAGUUCCUGCAGGUUAAAUUAGUAUGGGUAGUGC
rnacentral:misc_RNA from 1 species